GACGAACGCUGGCGGCGUGCUUAACACAUGCAAGUCGAACGGAAAGGCCCUGCUUGCCGGGUACUCGAGUGGCGAACGGGUGAGUAACACGUGGGUGAUCUACCCUGCACUUCGGGAUAAGCCUGGGAAACUGGGUCUAAUACCGGAUAGGAGCCAUUUUUAGUGUGAUGGUUGGAAAGUUUUUUCGGUGUAGGAUGAGCUCGCGGCCUAUCAGCUUGUUGGUGGGGUAAUGGCCUACCAAGGCGGCGACGGGUAGCCGGCCUGAGAGGGUGGACGGCCACAUUGGGACUGAGAUACGGCCCAGACUCCUACGGGAGGCAGCAGUGGGGAAUAUUGCACAAUGGGCGCAAGCCUGAUGCAGCGACGCCGCGUGGGGGAGGACGGCCUUCGGGUUGGAAACUCCUUUCGCUAGGGACGAAGCUUUUUGUGACGGUACCUAGAUAAGAAGCACCGGCUAACUACGUG
rnacentral:rRNA from 1 species